UGAGGAACAUGACCUUCGGCGGGGGAUAGCCGGCCCAACGGCCGGGUAAUACCGCGUACGACCACAUGGGGACAUCCCCGAGUGGUGAAAGCAGCAAUGCGCCGAUGGAGUGCCUCGCGGCCUAUCAGCUAGUUGGUGAGGUAACGGCUCACCAAGGCGACGACGGGUAGCUGGUCUGAGAGGAUGGCCAGCCACAUUGGGACUGAGACACGGCCCAGACUCCUAGGGACGG
rnacentral:rRNA from 1 species